GUGUAGUUUGACAAGCCCAAUCAUUCGAAAAAGAGGAAGUGAAAAUUUGCCAUGGCGUUUGUUUGUUUUUUAUUAGUAGGAGAUAUUAAACCAUAAGUAAUACUGUAUUCGAUAAACAAUGGACACAUAACUUAAUCCAGUACACAAAUAAAACAAACUAUUUAUGAUUCCGUUUUUAGCGAAGCAAGGCUUCAGGUUUUUCAGGUUGUUUAUCUAUCUGAUCUUUACUUAAUAAGGAGAGUGAAGAUAACUAGCCUGCCGUUCUCCACCACAAACUGAGCCCAAGACUAUACUGACUGGGUCCUGACUGACAACAUCACUGGGCACCGCAGGAGAAAUGGCAUCAGUGAAAGACAGCAGUCAAACACUCCUGUUGAAUAUCAUCACGAAAGAUAAAGAGGAGGAAGUGAAGAUUUGGGAAUGUGAUGAUUAUCCAGGAGAGAGUCCAGACAUGGCAUCUGUAGAGCUGGCAGGCAGCAGUCAAACACUGGGGCUGAAUGUCACCAUUAAUGAAGAACAGAAGGAAGACAUUGGGGAAUCUGCUGAUCGUGGAGAGACCUCUAACUCCUCUGAGCAAGUGGAGACAUUUCCUCCAUCUGGGAAGAAACAUCAGGAAGGGACCAAAGCUAAGAGGUCUCGCCACUGUCCUCACUGUGAGGAGAGCUUCCCAUUCCCAUCAUAUCUUGAAAGACACCUUCGAAAACAUUCUGGAGAAAAGCCUUAUUCCUGCUCUAUCUGUGGGAGGAGUUUUUCUCAACUGAGUGGCUUGAACGUGCACCAGCGAACACACACUGGAGAGAAGCCUCACCGCUGUCCUCACUGUGAGGAGAGUUUCCCAUUUCCAUCAUAUCUUGAAAGACACCUACGAAAGCAUUCUGGAGAGAAGCCUUAUUCCUGCUCUGACUGUGGGAUGAGUUUUUCUCAACUGAGUGGCUUGAACGUGCACCAGCGAACACACACUGGAGAGAAGCCUCACCACUGUCCUCACUGUGAGAAGAGUUUCCCAUUCCUAUCAUAUCUUGAAAGACACCUGCGAAAACAUUCUGGAGAGAAGCCUUACUGCUGCUCUGACUGUGGGAAAUGCUUCACAACAUCAAGUCAUUUAACCUCCCAUCGCAGAGUUCACACAGGGGAGAAACCUUACUCCUGCUCUGACUGUGGGAAGAGUUUCCCAUUCCCAUCAUAUCUUGAACGACACCUGCGGAAACAUGCAAACCAUUGUGUUAUAUGAAGGUCAUGUGGUGUCAACCAGCACUGAACAAUACAUUUUUGGCCAGCAGUCAACCCAGCCGGCCGGCAGUCAACCCAGCCGGUCAAACCACAUACACUGUUGUUCACUGGAAUCGUCAUUAAGUCGAAGAGGAAUCAGUUCAAGGAGUGAAGUCAGGAUAGAUGAUCCUUUCCUCCAAAACAUAUGAAUCCCAUAUCAUCUGUUUUAUAUGUGCCAAGUCUAUUGAGGGGGGGGGGGCACAGGUUACAGUUUAGGCUUAAAGCCUGUUUUGUAUGAAUUAAUAUAAGUGGUGACCAGCACAACCUAUGACAAAGCUUACAAUGAAUUAAUUGAUGGUUUGGGUUCUUUGAUCAGUGAAAUGAUAUUCUCCCAGACAAUAGCCUCAUCAUCAUCAUCAGACAAAUACUUUAUCCAUGAUUUAACCAUUGGGAAGAUAUUUUUGCUUUAGUAAUUGAAGAUGGAAAAUAAAUAGCAGACACCAAACCUCUGGACAAAUUUGUACCCAAUGGGACACCAUAGGUACAAAGUGCAGACUGUCGACUUAAGAUAAAGAGACAAAGUUCUUGGAAACGAGGGAGACCCUCUUGAGUUAAAUAUAUCUCCUAGAUGUUUGAUCGCUUUUGCACACCAGGCUUUUGGCUCAUGGUUUAUUACCUGAAAGUAAUAGCCUUGUUAUGCCAUAGAGGGGUAUAGAGAUGCCACUUCCAGAUACCAUCUACAUAAUCUCUCAUGGACAGAUCUAUGUAAAUGUAACUGGUGCCAUAGAAUCUGUCUGGAAGGAAUGGGGUGCGUGUGCUAUCGAACGGCAGUAGGUCUGGUGUUUUGGGGUUUUCGUCACUGAUUUAUUUGGACAACUCAUGAUUUCGCAGAUGUUAGCGUCUUCCGAAUUUCGGAAGGAGAGGGGGACAUUCGAUUCGUCACUAGCAAGAGAGAGAGAGAGAGAGAGAGUGAAGCUCCUCAUUUUCUAGAAUCUCUUAAUCCCUUUCUCUUAACACAUGUGGACCUAGAAUUGUAAUCGUGCAGCUGACCAAUUACACAACACUUUAGUUCUGUAUUAACUAACUAUACCAUUUACACACUUCUCAACAUUCCUCAAAUUAUUUACUGCAUUGGAAAUAAUAGAACUGUAAUAUACUAUAACAUGCAUUUCUUAGUAUACUAGAAAAAUAACUCAUCUUUCCAUCCAAUAAGGGGAAACUAAUUCCUUUUCAAUAACUACCAAGAGACUGGUGUAGACUGGUGUAGACUGAUGAUAUAAGUGAUUGACCAUUAAGACGUCGGCAUGCUUCCCAGCCUAAACAGGUCCUUGUAGUACCUCAAACGGGAUCUUUGCCAUUCCAUGAAGGUAUUUAUGUACAUGUUUAUUGAGUAAGUUUACAUUCCUGCUGACUGUCGAAAGAGGAAUUUUAAGAUUUUGGGAAUAUGAUGAUUGAGCAGGUUUUAUUACCAGCGAUACGAGACCUGGUCACUGAUAAUAAAAAGCUUUACCCUGAAUUCA